rnacentral:rRNA from 1 species
ACGUACGACCACAGAUACUGGAAAACUCGGGAUCCCGUCCGCUCUCCCAUAGAUAAGCCAGUAAUCGCCGAACUAGUAGUUGGGUGGGUGACCACCAGCGAAUCCUCGGUGUUGUACGUU